AGCGAACGUUAGCGGCGCGCCUAACACAUGCAAGUCGCACGAGAAAGGGAGCAAUCCCCGGUACAGUGGCGCACGGGUGAGUAACACGUAGAUGACCUUCCCUGGAGUGGUGGAUAACCUGCCGAAAGGCGGGCUAAUACAGCAUGGGACCACAUGGUUUUGACCGAGUGGUGAAAGCGGGCCUCUGUUCACAAGCUCGCGCUCUGGGAUGGGUCUGCGUCCCAUCAGCUAGUUGGUGAGGUAAUGGCUCACCAAGGCAUCGACGGGUAGCUGGUCUGAGAGGAUGACCAGCCACACUGGAACUGAGACACGGUCCAGACUCCUACGGGAGGCAGCAGUGGGGAAUCUUGCGCAAUGGGCGAAAGCCUGACGCAGCGACGCCGCGUGGGUGAUGAAGGCCUCGGUUGUAAGACC
rnacentral:rRNA from 1 species